GCGACAGAAGAGAGUGAGCACACAUGGCUCUUUUUUCUAGCAUGCUCAUGCUCGAAAGCUCUGCGUGCUUACUCUCUUCUUGUCUC